GCAAUCAUGAGGCUCUGGGUUAAAGCUGGAAGUCACUAGAAACAGACCACACAAAGGCCCUCCCUUCAAGAAGUGCCCCCAGCUGAUAGACACAGGCCCUUAAUAAUGUGUUAGAAAAAGUUAAGGGUCAUAUAUAAGGGGGAAAAGCAAGUUCUCUGGGCUCUAAGAGAAAGAGAGCACAUCCAGGGCACAGCACUGGAAAACACCUGGAAGGACAAGAAAAGAUUGUGAUGGGUUUGACUUAGAACAAAAGAAAACAAGAGAAGCAAAGAAGAACUUUCAUUAACUUCAUUGUAG
rnacentral:lncRNA from 10 species